GGCAGAAUUGCUUGAACCCGGGAGACGGACGUUGCAGUGAGCUGAGAUCGUGCCACUGCACUCCAGACUGGGUGACAGAGCAAGACUCCGUCUCAAAAGAAAAAAAAAAAAGAACACAGCACAGAGAAGAUGCCCAGAGCCCUUCACUGUGGGCCCAUGAGAUGACACAGAUCUUUCCACUAGGCCAUCCUGUUUUGUUGCUGGAGAACUUUGUCCCUGGAAGGGCAGAAAUGAUUAUUCUGGUUGCCCAAGGCCUGGUGGCCCAGGUGGAAGAUGCAAUGCUGAUGUUUGAUAAAACUACCAACAGGCACAGAGGGUUUGGCUUUGUCACUUUUGAGAAUGAAGAUGUUGUGGAGAAAGUCUGUGAGAUUCAUUUCCAUGAAAUCAAUAAUAAAAUG
rnacentral:sRNA from 1 species